rnacentral:rRNA from 1 species
AGACCCCAUGGAGCUUCAAACCCAACUACACCCUUAACUACCACAACCACACAACCUCUUAGGGCCCUGUAUAGUUGGUUUUAGGUUGGGGCGACCACGGAGUACAACCAAACCUCCGCAAUGAACGGGACCACUCCCUUAUCUAAGAGCCACACCUCUAAGAAUUAAAACACUAACAUAAAAUGAUCCAUGAUCUGAUCAAUGAACCAAGUUACCCUGGGGAUAACAGCGCAAUCCAUUUCAAGAGCCCCUAUCGACAAGUGGGUUUACGACCUCGAUGUUGGAUCAGGGUAUCCUAGUGGUGCAGCAGCUACUAAUGGUUCGUUUGUUCAACGAUUAA